rnacentral:lncRNA from 1 species
GCCGUGAUUCCAUGGCAGUGCCUCUUAGCCUUUUUCACAUCCUGCCACACAUGGAAAAUACUAUUAUACAUAUGGCCUUGGGGGGAAUGAAUGGGACAACUCAAGGCUUGAGGCGAUGUCUGGCAGGCUCUGGCCAUCCCGAGCUCCUUCUUGUGCUGGUACUUUGCUGUACUGGAACAGAUGCCAAGGAUGUCAGUUGUGCAAUCAGAAAUUCAUUCAUGUGA